GACGAACGCUGGCGGCAUGCCUAAUACAUGCAAGUCGAGCGAACAGAUGAAGUGCUUGCACUUCUGACGUUAGCGGCGAACGGGUGAGUAACACGUAAGGAAUCUACCUAUAAGCGGGGGAUAACAUUCGGAAACGGGUGCUAAUACCGCAUAAUAUCUUCCUCCGCAUGGAAGAAGAUUGAAAGACGGCUCUGCUGUCACUUAUAGAUGACCUUGCGGUGCAUUAGUUAAUUGGUGGGGUAACGGCCUACCAAGACGAUGAUGCAUAGCCGACCUGAGAGGGUGAUCGGCCACAUUGGGACUGAGACACGGCCCAAACUCCUACGGGAGGCAGCAGUAGGGAAUCUUCCGCAAUGGGCGAAAGCCUGACGGAGCAAUGCCGCGUGAGUGAAGAAGGCCUUCGGGUCGUAAAACUCUGUUAUAAGAGAAGAACAAAUUGUAGAGUAACUGCUACAGUCUUGACGGUAUCUUAUCAGAAAGCCACGGCUAACUACGUGCCAGCCGCCGCGGUAA
rnacentral:rRNA from 1 species